rnacentral:rRNA from 1 species
GACGAACGCUGGCGGCGUGCCUAAUACAUGCAAGUAGAACGCUGAAGAGAGGAGCUUGCUCUUCUUGGAUGAGUUGCGAACGGGUGAGUAACGCGUAGGUAACCUGCCUUGUAGCGGGGGAUAACUAUUGGAAACGAUAGCUAAUACCGCAUAACAAUGGAUGACACAUGUCAUUUAUUUGAAAGGGGCAAUUGCUCCACUACAAGAUGGACCUGCGUUGUAUUAGCUAGUAGGUGAGGUAAUGGCUCACCUAGGCGACGAUACAUAGCCGACCUGAGAGGGUGAUCGGCCACACUGGGACUGAGACACGGCCCAGACUCCUACGGGAGGCAGCAGUAGGGAAUCUUCGGCAAUGGGGGCAACCCUGACCGAGCAACGCCGCGUGAGUGAAGAAGGUUUUCGGAUCGUAAAGCUCUGUUGUAAGUCAAGAACGGGUGUGAGAGUGGAAAGUUCACACUGUGACGGUAGCUUACCAGAAAGGGACGGCUAACUACGUGCCAGCAGCCGCGGUAAUACGUAGGUCCCGAGCGUUGUCCGGAUUUAUUGGGCGUAAAGCGAGCGCAGGCGGUUUGAUAAGUCUGAAGUUAAAGGCUGUGGCUCAACCAUAGUUCGCUUUGGAAACUGUCAAACUUGAGUGCAGAAGGGGAGAGUGGAAUUCCAUGUGUAGCGGUGAAAUGCGUAGAUAUAUGGAGGAACACCGGUGGCGAAAGCUGCUCUCUGGUCUGUAACUGACGCUGAGGCUCGAAAGCGUGGGGAGCGAACAGGAUUAGAUACCCUGGUAGUCCACGCCGUAAACGAUGAGUGCUAGGUGUUGGAUCCUUUCCGGGAUUCAGUGCCGCAGCUAACGCAUUAAGCACUCCGCCUGGGGAGUACGACCGCAAGGUUGAAACUCAAAGGAAUUGACGGAGGCCCGCACAAGCGGUGGAGCAUGUGGUUUAAUUCGAAGCAACGCGAAGAGCCUUACCAGGUCUUGACAUCCCGAUGCUAUUUCUAGAGAUAGAAAGUUACUUCGGUACAUCGGUGACAGGUGGUGCAUGGUUGUCGUCAGCUCGUGUCGUGAGAUGUUGGGUUAAGUCCCGCAACGAGCGCAACCCCUAUUGUUAGUUGCCAUCAUUCAGUUGGGCACUCUAGCGAGACUGCCGGUAAUAAACCGGAGGAAGGUGGGGAUGACGUCAAAUCAUCAUGCCCCUUAUGACCUGGGCUACACACGUGCUACAAUGGUUGGUACAACGAGUUGCGAGUCGGUGACGGCGAGCUAAUCUCUUAAAGCCAAUCUCAGUUCGGAUUGUAGGCUGCAACUCGCCUACAUGAAGUCGGAAUCGCUAGUAAUCGCGGAUCAGCACGCCGCGGUGAAUACGUUCCCGGGCCU